rnacentral:misc_RNA from 1 species
CGCAGCUACUUGGGCUUAAGUUUAUGAAGAACAGAAAAUCAUCGUAGUCGUAUUGCACGCAUUGCAGCAUAUCGUUGAAGCUUUCGCAAUGCUCCAACUGUCUGCAACCCCGUAGCCAGAGGAAGAUGGAGACUUCAGUGUUUGGAACUGGCCGCGUUGAGAACGCGACCUGACCCAAAUAUCCACUUUAUAUCUAUACGCUACUAUCACGCCUUGUUUUAUAACUGAACCAUUGGAACGUGUGCAAGGUUCAAGCAUAGUUAGCAAAUGGUUAACAAUGGUUCAAGGUUACCUCUUCGCUUUUUGCCCAGCUGAAGUGUGACGACGGACGCAAGCGACCGAGGAAGUCUAAGUGCUAAUGUGGUCAUCUGGGGGCGAAAGGAAAAUUUGAACUUUUCGCCAUCAUGUAAUCAAGGAGGAUAAAAAAUUAAUACUCAGGUGAUAGCAUGGAGGAAGGUACCUCCUCUAAUGCGGCAGAUGCAGUGGAAGUCAAAGAGAAUGAAACGAAGAAAGAGCGACCCACAAGCCUCGACUUAGAGAAAUACGACGCAGGCAAUGACGAGGAAGUUAAAAUUCAAGACGGCAAGAAAUCAUCUACCACAAGAAAACCGAAAGAGUUCUCCUCCUCCCAAGAAGAUUUGCUGGAAAGUCUUGAUGAUGGUGAUGACAGUGGCCAGAGAAUUUCACCAAGAAGUAAAAGUAUAACACAUAGUUUAAGGUCAAAAAUAAGGGAUUUGAGUCCUUCAAGGAGAGCAACAUCACCUGGUGCUAAACCAGAGAGAAAAACAAGCAAAGCUGGGGAUAAAGUCAGAAAAUCACCAAAGUCACCUGGUAAUUGGCUUCCUGCUUCAUUCAAUCAGAUUUUUUCAAGUUAUAAGACAAAAUGUGGAGACUUCAAAAGAUUAUUUAAAGAACUUCCUGAAAGUGAGCAACUGAUUGUAGAUUAUUCUUGUGCACUACAGAGAGAUAUUUUAGUUCAUGGCCGCCUCUAUAUCUCUCAGAACUGGCUUUGUUUCUAUGCCAAUAUCUUUGGUUGGGAAACCUUUGUGACCAUUCAGUGUAAAGAUAUAACUAGUAUAAAGAAAGAAAAAACUGCACUGGUUAUCCCCAAUGCAAUUCAAGUUUGUACAGAGUCUGAAAAGUACUUUUUUGCUUCACUGAUAUCAAGAGAUUCAACGUAUACUGUGUUAUUUAGGAUUUGGCAAAAUGCACUUUUAGAUCAGCCCAUGACCCCAUCAGAACUCAUCCAGCUGGUUGGAAAGUACUCAGAAGGAAGAGAAGACAGCUCUGAGAAUGAUGAUUCAGAUGAUGAUGAUGAUGCAAAACAGGAGGGGUCUGAAGAAUCUGGAAGUGAGGGUGAUGUUGAGGGUGAAAUACCCUCAGACAGUUUAUCUUCUCUCAGUCAAAGUCAGAGCUCUCUAGGAACUGAAAAUGGGCCAGGAAGUCAGACUAUACCCUGUAAGGUUGGUGAAAAUGCACCAAAAGUGGCUAUCAGCCCACCAUCUCCAGAGGUAUCAUCUUCACCAGGACAAGAUUAAGGCCAGUUUCCAGCCUGUGAAGAUAGCAAGAGCUCCAAUGAGGCCACAACAGGUAUCCCAGUGAGCUGUACGUGUGAGACUCAUCUCAGCAGAGAGCUUUUUAAUGAGGAGUUUCCUGUUAGCGUAGAUA